GCGACCCACGUUAACCGCUAACGGGGGGCUUCUCCCCGGCGACCGGCGCGGCUACAAGAUGGCGGACGAUAGAGAAGGUACAGUAGCAGAAUUACAGAAAAAAAUCAAAGAGGCAUUUGAAGUAUUUGACCGUGAGUCGAAUAAUACAGUGGAUGUGAGGGAGAUUGGAACGAUUGUCAGGUCCCUGGGGUGCUGCCCCAGCGAAGGUGAGCUCCACGACCUGAUUGCGGAGGUAGAGGAGGAAGAACCUACUGGAUACAUCCGAUAUGAAAAAUUUCUUCCAGUGAUGACGAAAGUACUACAGGAAAAAAGGUACAGACCAAUUCCAGAAGAUGUUCUUCUUCGAGCUUUUGAGGCUUUAGAUCCAGCUAAACGUGGGUUUCUUACUAAAGAAGAACUGAUCAAGUAUAUGACUGAAGAAGGUACAGUUGCCGUCAACUUGAUCCAGGCAAUAUGAAGUUCCCCAGCAACUUGUCACCUCGCUUGCCAUUAUCUUAUCAGCUGUUGCAAAAUGUUUGGUCAUCCAACAGUGUACCUUGAUUAUCAGUGAACUUGGACUUGGAAACGAGUUAAUUUCUACAGUAACCAGGAUGCACCAGCUGCAGUGCUUGGCCCUGGCCUCGUGUGGAAUAAGGCCAUCGUUAACUUGAGUUGCAUGGAUGUUCAAAUCUGACCGUCAGCACGCUGCAGUCCUGAGGGAUGAGACUUCUGAAAGAAGGCAGGCCCCCGUUCUGACUCUGCCGGGCAGGAAGAACCAGGGACGUUGAUGGACCACCGUCUGGGUUCUGGCACAAGCCCACCUUGUACUGCACUCCGCCUCCCCAACGGCCAGGGCAGAAUGCUGCUUCCCAGCUUAUGCAAAGCUACAGAUUCCUUCAGAGCCCUGUGGUUUGGGGCCCGUGUGCGGGACGUGUGGGAGUCUUCCUUGCCAGCGUGUCCACAGCCCCAGAAGGGCAACAGCACAUGUCAGCGGCCCACUCACCGGACGGGCCUGCGGGCUCCGGUCCUCGUCGCCAGCAGCCUAAGCAGGUUGCUGGGCCUCACCGUGGGUUGUUCGACCACAAAAUAGGAGGGAAGAAAGCUGCUGGGUGGGGAGAGGCCUGGCCCAGCUCAGCUGUAUAGUACAUCAAUCAGCUCGCAGGGAGGCGAGAGAAAAAUGCUUUUCUCCUGUUAAUAAAAACAUCAAAAACCCCACUGCAUGGAAGAGCCUGGGUUCCCAAUCAGAACACUGAACCUGCUAGGAAAUGGGCCGUAGGAAAGCAGAGACCAAAGAAUGAACACCUUGCCGCUCACCAUGAACUUUGUAACUACUUUUUGGCAAUGGGGAUAGUAAGAGUAGUGGAAAAGGCAGCGAGGAGACAGACCUGCUCCUCCUUCAUCACCUGGGCCUGGGAUGGGUUCAGGCGCUCCUGUGUGCUGUGCCAAGGCCACCAGGUGCACGCGGGAGCCUGUGGUGCCAGGCGACCUGCAGCGACAGCAGUGUGUCCCGGCCUCCGCCUGCCUGCUGGCUGCAGGGCCAAGGACGUACAUGCAAGGGGGAAGCAGAGCUCCUGCUGCCCUUGGCCCUCCCCUGUCUCCCACAGGUCACCUGCAGAAGAUGGGGAGCGAAGAGCCCUUUCUUCACGGGGCAGUGGCUCGUCGAGGCCUCAGCAAGCUUUGAGCAGACUCAUGAAGGUGAUGUGUGACGUGACGGUCUUUCGGUGUGAUCGCCGUGGAGUUUCCCUCUUCGUUUCUCUUAACAUGUUCCCAGUGCCCAUUUUUUCCCACUGUAUAAAAGACUGCCUCCUGCUCCUGAGUCUGAAGUGUCCUGUGUAAAUAGCAUGGUGCCUGUCGGCACCCGAGCCCGUCUAAGGCAGUACCUGCUGAGGACUGGGGCUCUGGGAAGCCCGGCCAUCAUGUGGUCCACGUCAGCUUACCUGCAAGAUGUCACUUUUUCUUGGUAUCAGUGCUCUUUAAUUCUUAUUUAAGAUUGUUGAAAAGAGUCUCUGAGGCCAAGUGAGAAAGGUAUUUGAAAAUUUUACUGCGGCCGGCGCCAUGGCUUAACAGGCUAAUCCUCCGCCUUGUGGCACCGGCACACCGGGUUCUAGUCCCGGUUGGGGCGCUGGAUCCUAUCCCGGUUGCCCCUCUUCCAGGCCAGCUCUCUGCUAUGGCCCGGGAAGGCAGUGGAGGAUGGCCCAAGUCUUUGGGCCCUGCACCCGCAUGGGAGACCAGGAGAAGCACCUGGCUCCUGGCUUCGGAUCAGCGCGAUGCGCCGGCCGCAGCGGCCAUUGGAGGGUGAACCAACGGCAAAAAGGAAGACCUUUCUCUCCGUCUGUCUCUCUCUCUCACUGUCCACUCUGCCUGUCAAAAAAAAAAAAAAAAAAGAAAAGAAAAGAAAAUUUUACUGCAUGUUGGAAUAUAUGUGCGUGCAUAUGUUUGGAGCAGUGUGACUUCAUCUUCACACUCUUUCCCUUUUCCACUGUGCUGAGAUCCGUGUGAGGGACUUUGCCAUUUCAACCACCACCUGUGUCCAGAACUUUGCCUUUCCAAACUGAAGCACUGCACCCAUUAAAUAAUAACCCCCCACCCCUCUUUAUGCCAAUCAA